GAGACUUUAUCUUAAUAAAAGUAUUUGAGUUGCAUUCAAAAGAUGGGGGUUGAUGUCCUCCAGGUCUUA
rnacentral:tRNA from 1 species